rnacentral:rRNA from 1 species
AGCGAACGCUGGCGGCAGGCCUAACACAUGCAAGUCGAACGAGACCUUCGGGUCUAGUGGCGCACGGGUGCGUAACGCGUGGGAACCUGCCCUGAAGUUCGGAAUAACACAGAGAAAUUUGUGCUAAUACCGGAUAAUGUCUUCGGACCAAAGAUUUAUCGCCUUUGGAUGGGCCCGCGUAGGAUUAGCUAGUUGGUGAGGUAAAGGCUCACCAAGGCGACGAUCCUUAGCUGGUCUUAGAGGAUGAUCAGCCACACUGGGACUGAGACACGGCCCAGACUCCUACGGGAGGCAGCAGUGGGGAAUAUUGGACAAUGGGCGAAAGCCUGAUCCAGCAAUGCCGCGUGAGUGAUGAAGGCCUUAGGGUUGUAAAGCUCUUUUACCUGGGAUGAUAAUGACAGUACCAGGAGAAUAAGCCCCGGCUAACUCCGUGCCAGCCGCCGCCGUAACAC